rnacentral:lncRNA from 1 species
AAGCAGGCUCCCUGCUGAGCAAGGAGCCUGAUGCGGGACUCAAUCCAAGGACCCUGGGAUCAUGACCUAAGCUGAAGGCAGAUACUUAAUCAACUAAGCCACCCAGGCAUCCCUGGACAGCAGUUUUAUAAAAGGUCCUCCUUGAUGUCUCCCAAAUAUGAAGAACUUCAGAGGACCUCACUGUUGCCAUCACUGA